CAGAGAUAAAAACACAGUCCGGUUGGUAGUCCGGGCGUCCUGCUCAGGAUCAGUAACCUGCCUCCUUGGUUGUCCCUUCUUUGUGU
rnacentral:ncRNA from 1 species